GGAAGGAUCAUUAUCUAACAACGUUUACAACGUUAACCCCUUCGUGAACUUGUAUUUUUUCAACUCAAUGAUGUUCGAUGGAUAAGGAUCGAGAUGAUGUGGUGUCCGAGAAUAGGCUCGAAAGGGCUUUGUUCAAGGCAGUCUUGAUCUGUGCUUCACGGCGCAUCCUUUAUCAUUUCACCAUGUUUACUCAUUUAUUAACCCCAUGUAUCAUUUUUUGUACGAAACUUUUUUUUCUGCUUUGCUUGCAAGUGAAAAAAACCUAUUUAUUCUAAUGCGAACAACUCUUAGCAACGGAUAUCUAGGCUCUCGUAUCGAUGAAGAACGCAGCGAAAUGCGAUACGUAAUGCGAAUUGCAGAUUUCGUGAAACAUCAAGAUUUUGAACGCAUCUUGCGCUCUGGGGAAACCUGGAGCAUGCCUCUUUGAGUAUCGUAAAAACCAACCUCGGCUGCGACCGUAAAACAGUCGCUGAGUCCGGACAGUGAGAUUUGUCACUUUUCGCUUCUGGCGAGGGGUGUCUCUUUAAGCUGACAGCAACGGUUGAACCACAAAUCUGUUUUGUUGUUCUUAUCUGGCUGAUGCUUGAUAAUUGGCCUUCAUCGGUCAUUCUCUGCAUCUUGGCUUGGAGACUAUGAAACUUAUUUGAAACCGUUCACAAUAAACAAAAGGAAACUUUUUUUAUUGCGCGAUCUCAAAUGAAGCAAGAUUACCCGCCGAAUUUAAGCAUAUAAUUAAGCGGAGGAAAAGAAACUAACAAGGAUUCCCCUAGUAGCGGCGAGCGAACCGGGAGAAGCUCAAUGUUAAAAGCGGGGCUUGCUUCGCGAUGUAACCUCGAGACGGACUCCCAGAUAUGACCUCGGUAAAAGUCCUCUUGGAACAGGGCGUCAAAGAGGGUGACAAUCCCGUUUUUGGCCGAGAGUUCGUAUCGUACGGGAACUGAUCGAAGAGUCGAGUACCUUGGGAAUGGUGCUCUAAAUGGGUGGUAUGUUUCAUCUAAAGCUAAAUAUCGACGAGAGACCGAUAGCGAACAAGUACCGUGAGGGAAAGAUGAAAAGAACUUUGAAAAGAGGUCGUUAAAUAGUACUUGAAAUUGUUAAGAGGUAAGCACUGGAAACCAGUAAUGUCUGUCAACCUCUCACACCCAUGGAAACGGGCUCGCUGACCGAACCUCAAAUCGGAUAGGCAGGGUCCGCCAACAUGUGUGCUACCGGGCAGCAGACGAGUCAGGAUCAGGUCGAUCCGCGGGAGAAAGCGAUUGCAGGGAGUUCAGCUUCGGCUGGGCCGUUAGGUAGUCGUGAAUACCGUGGGUUGGCCUGAGGAACGAUAUUGUCCUCCGUCUCUUAAGUUCCUGGCACCCCAGUGGCGAAAUAGAUGAACUAUUAGCUACUGGGUGGUCACUGGGCGAAUGAGUUCCGGGCAAUCGCGAUCUUGACGAAAUGGUUUCUAUUGACCCGUCUUGAAACACGGACCAAGGAGUCUAGCAUAUAUGCGAGUAUUUGGGUGUAAAAACCCUGAUGCGUAAUGAAAGUGAAAGGUAGGAACCGAAAGGGGCACUAUCGACCGAUUUUCUGCUUGCGGAAGAUUUGAGUAGGAGCAUAUCUGCUGGGACCCGAAAGAUGGUGAACUAUGCCUGAUCAGGGUGAAGCCAGGGGAAACUCUGGUGGAGGCUCGUAGCGAUACUGACGUGCAAAUCGUUCGUCUGAAUUGGGUAUAGGGGCGAAAGACUAAUCGAACCAUCUAGUUGCUGGUUCACGC
rnacentral:misc_RNA from 1 species